AAAGGUGCUUUGACUUAUACCGAUAUUGCUGGCGACCCUGUUUUGUAUGGCAACUUGCCGCCGCGUGAAAUUUCUAUGAAGGAUGUUUUCCGUUCUGGUGAUUCGUCUAAGAAGUUUAAGAUUGCUGAGGGUCAGUGGUAUCGUUAUGCGCCUUCGUAUGUUUCUCCUGCUUAUCACCUUCUUGAAGGCUUCC
rnacentral:rRNA from 1 species